GCUCCAAGUUGCCGCCAGAACCCAUGGCCGGCGUGGAAACCGCUGCGAGGCGGCGCCACGACGGAGGCUGAGGUCGCCGGCAGUAUCCAUGGCGUCCCAGAGCGGCAGCUCCCUGGGGCUCCUGGCCUGGUUCUUGCUUCUUCAGCCAUGGCUCGAAGAGGCCCGGGCAGGCAGGGUGGGUGCGCAGGGAGGCGUAGCACUGCUCUUCCCCUCCGCGCUCCCCUCAGGGCCAGGCGGCCAGGACCCCGGAGCGAGCGGAUGGGAGCCGCCACCUGUAGGGGCUCCAGGAUCCCCAGCGGCCCCCCAGUCCAGGGGGAACGCAGUGCGCCCCGCUUCGGUGUUACUUCCCUCAGCCUGUGGCCAGCGGACUUCAAGGAUAACUGGAGGAUUGCCGGCUCCAGACAGGAAGUGGCCCUGGCAGGUGAGCCUGCAGACCAGCAACAGACACAUCUGCGGAGGCUCCCUUAUCGCCAGACACUGGGUACUCACUGCCGCUCACUGCAUCUCUGGGUGAGGGUUUGGGGCUCAGAGCUUGGGCCCUGAUCAGGCUGUGGGACCUGGAGCCAGUCUGUCCCCCUCCCUGAACUUCCUCUUCCUCAUCUGUAAAAGGGGGUGACAGCCCCAUAGUUUUUAUCCAGUCUGGGUGAGACCUGAGGAUUUGCAUUUCUAACAAGUUUCUGGGUGUUGCCUCCGCCGCUGAUCUGGGGACUACUGGCUAAAGUGGUCAGGGGUCCUGGAGGGAUGUGGCUUGGAGAGAGGGAGGUAGCUGCUGGCUGGCAUAGGAAGAUGGUACCAGGCGGGAAGCACCUCGAAGGUGUGGAAGCAGAGUGUAGACCCUGGAGGAUCUUCCUGCAGCCAUCUGGAAUACACAGUGAAGCUGGGAGACACAAAUGUGCAUCAUCGCUCCAAAACAGCACUUGUGGUCCCAGUUCGUGACGUCGUUAUCCACCGAUAUUUUACGUCUCCUGGAAUAAUUGAAAAUGACAUUGCCCUUGCCCUGCUUGACUUCCCUGUGAAUUACUCCACGCACAUCCAGCUUGUGUGCCUCCCUGAACAGGCUUUCAUGGUGCAAGCUGGUACGAACUGCUGGGUGACCGGAUGGGGCAAAGUAAAUGAAACAGGGAGAUUCUGGGGGGCCCCUGGUCUGUGAAUUAAAUGGCACAUGGGUCCAGGUGGGGAUUGUGAGCUGGGGCAUUGGCUGCGGUCGCAAAGGAUACCCUGGAGUUUACACAGAAGUUAGUUUCUACAAGAAAUGGAUUAUUGAUCACCUGAGACAAGCUUCCUGUUUGAAUUCAAAGACUUCCUCAUCCUAGUCCUGUGUCUGGUGAUGCCCCUGGGCAUCCUGGUGACCCUGUGAUCAGACCCCAUUCCACUCUUCUGCUGUUUCUGAGUCUCACACUUAGGUGUCUCCUCUGACCAACUUCCCACUCCUUCUCAAUGCCCUUUCCACAAAUGCCAGUUGGAAUCCACGGGCCCUCUGGAGAUCCGUACAAUAGAGCAUGGCAGGGAGACUGGGGCCUGGAAAGUGCCCCUGCCUGGUGCUCUGGUCACUUGCCUCAGCCAUGCCUGCACCAGGGCUGUGCUCUGGCUGGUGGGAAGGAGGGAGUGAACCGAUUCCAGCUAGAGGGCCAGCCUCCCUGCCAAGUGGGCCACGGUGACUCAUCAAUAUCUGGAGGAACAUCUAUCAAAGAAGAGACAUCAUCAAUGGUGAAGGAAGCGUUAGACGUGGUUCUGGUUUCAGGGCUCUCACCUGAGACUUUGUGAAACCAGCCAGCUGGGUGAUUGCUCACAGAGAGAGAAGGAGGCGUUACCAGGUCCCUGCAGACGUGUGAGGCCUGGGACUUCCACUCUGGCUCAGUAGUCUGGGGCUGGGAGAAGUUCCCCUGCAGCCCAGUGUGGAUCCAUCUGUGAGUGGACAGCCUCUGCCACACCAGCUCUCUUGGGGCAACCCAUUCUUGCACCUCUUUCCUCAGUGCCCUGGUGGCCACUUUCAGGGACACUACAAAUUGUAUUGAGUCUGUUAUGGGGUGUGGAGUUUUCGGAAAUCAACUAAAUAAAUAUUUGGGGAGUC